UUACGGCCACAUCACGCUGAAACAUUGGUUCCCAUACGAUCACUGAAGUUAAGUAAUGUUGAGCCUGGCCAAUAGCUAGAUGGGUGACUGCUUGGGAAUCCAG